UACGUAGGGGGCGAGCGUUAUCCGGAAUUACUGGGCGUAAAGCGCACGCAGGCGGCUCGCCAAGUUUGGAGUGACAGUUGUCGGCUCAACCGACAAAGGACUUCAAAAACUGGUGAACUUGAGUAUGAGAGAGGAACAUGGAACUCCAGGUGUAGUAGUGAAAUGCGUAGAUAUCUGGAAGAACACCAAUGGCGAAGGCAAUGUUCUGGCUCGUUUCUGACGCUCAGGUGCGAAAGCCAGGGGAGCGAACGGG
rnacentral:rRNA from 1 species